UACGAAGGGGGCUAGCGUUGUUCGGAAUCACUGGGCGUAAAGGGCGCGUAGGCGGCACUGUUAGUCAGGCGUGAAAUUCCUGGGCUCAACCUGGGGACUGCGCUUGAUACGGCAGAGCUUGAGGAUGGAAGAGGGUCGCGGAAUUCCCAGUGUAGAGGUGAAAUUCGUAGAUAUUGGGAAGAACACCGGUGGCGAAGGCGGCGACCUGGUCCAUUACUGACGCUGAGGCGCGACAGCGUGGGGAGCAAACAGG
rnacentral:rRNA from 1 species